CUGGAGGAAAGUGUGGUCCCUACAGAGAGUAUCUUCAGAACACGGAGAUAAUGCCAAUGAAGAGAAUGAGACGUGAAGUUGAGGAAGCAAUCUAUCGAGAAAAGAAACUACCAAAAGAUUCUGAAAAUUUAGAAGAUGAGACGACAACAGACAUUUCCUUUCUUCAGUGGUCACCUGGCAACAGUAACAGAGAAGCAGAAAAUGUACCCGAUGAUGCUGAGUCACAGUGUUCAGUCUCGGUGGAAACUGUGUCUGCAUCUUCAAUUGAGCAAGAGAGCACCGGUCUGCCUGAAGAUUGUCACAAAGACACUGAUUCCUUGUGUAAUCAAAAUGAUUGUGACAAAGGAGAAGGAUCUGACAGAUGGAACUGGGCAGACCUUUUCUUUGCUGGCCACUCUCAGUUUGAUCUGGAAGAGCCUGAAGUAAAUUAUGGGUCUGCAAGUUGUGAUGGUAAUGUUGGCACAGAUGCAGAUGAAAGAAUAUUUCCUGGCUGUCCACUGACGUUAAAUUUGAGUGCAGUCCUUAUGAUGGAGUUCCUGGUUCACCAUAAGAUAUCUCAGAAGGUUGCUGAAGAUAUAGUCGUGCUUCUUACUGCUCACUUUCUUCCAGGUCAUAAAAUGUUUACAUCACUAUACAGGCUCAAGUCUCACUGUAGGAAGCAAUGUGGCAUGUCUAAAUAUGAAAAGAGACUUGUUUGCUCUAACUGUGACACCAUAAUGCAAGAAUGAUGACCAACACCGUAACAUCCUGAGUGCCUUGGUGUGUGUCGACCUCUUGAGUUUCUAGUCCUUAAUAUUGAAACUGCUCUUGGACAGUUAUGCCAUGACCCUGCUGUUUGCUCUCAGCUGCUAAGAAAUUCUGAGGAGCAAUCGCUGUUUUCUGACAUCAUCAGAGGGUCUAGCUACAGGUAUAUCACUAGGAUUGGAUGCACCCAGACGCCUUGGAAUAUAACACUGACUUUAAUUAAACACUGAUGGAGUUUCUAUUUUCAAAACAUCGAGAAGUAGUUCACUUUGGCCAGUAUACCUUACAGUGAAUGAGCUCUCACCUAAAUCUCGGUAUUCUUUGAAGUAUGUCAUCUUGUAUGCGUUGUGGUUUCAGCCUGGGAAGCCACCUAUUCAAGCUUUUCUUGACCCUCUGAUCCAGCAAAUUGGUGUGCUUUCAAGUGAAGGUGCUCUAUUUGAGACUCCUAGAGGACUGCAGCGUUGUAGAACUCGGCUUGUCUUAGUGACAUGUGACCUCCCAGCUAGGGCAAUGCUACUGCAUGAAAAUUUUUAAUGGCAUUGCUGCGUGUUGCUAUUGUUACCAUCCUGGAAUGACUAUUGGAGAUGACCAUCUACAUCGGUACUGGCCGUACGAUGGUACUUUAGAGAGAAGAACGCAUGAAUCUAUGAAACAAGAUGUUAUAACUGCAACAGCAACUAACUCAGCAUGUCAGGGUAUGCUUCCUGUGGUUUCUCCCUUAAUUAAUAGCAGCACCGGGUUUCAACAUGGUUGACAAUGUUACAAUUGAUUAUAUGCAUGUAGUGUGUCUUGGCAUUGUUCGGGCACUUCUUGAUAUGUGGUUGACUCAACGAUCUAAAUCUUACUUUAUUGGUGAUAAGGUUGUGUUUCUGGAUAGACGCCUUCUUUUCAUAUGUCCACCGAUUGUUAUUAAUCGCAGUUCACACACUAUGAAGGAAUUCUAUACUUGGAAAGCUAAUGAGCUUUGCUCCUGUCUAUUCCAUUGGUCAUUGCCUGUCUUACAUGGAGUUCUCCAAACCGAAUACUUUGUCUAUUAUUCUUUGCUGGUGAUUGGUUGCUGAUUGCUUUGUCAAAGUUAUAUAUCAAGAGAGCAAAUAGAAGAGGCUCGUAAACUGCUGCUGAAGUUUUAUCAACUUUGUGAAGUUUAUAUGGUAUACACGUGUCUUGUAUUAAUUGGUGCGUUUAAGCUAUACCAUGCCUGUGAUUCUCUGAUUCAUUGGAAUGAGUGUAUACAUCCUAAUACAUCUAUCUUAUCUUUUGAACUCUGAGCUUCUCUUUAUAUAUAGGCACGAAAGCAGCGACUAUAAAAGUACACCUUCUGCAGCAUUUUCCCGGAUGUUGUAGAGAAGUGGGGUGUUUUGUGGGGUUAUUCCUGCUUUUGCUAUGAAUCCCUAAAUGGAGUUCUUAGAAGGUUUGUACACAGCACACGAUUUGCUUGCAGCCAGGUUGCAUCAGUUGGUAGGAUCAUUAAGACCAUUUCAGACGUGCUACCAUCACUGACUGACCAGCUAUUAGCACCACCUGUAGUUCGUUUGGCUACAAUAUUUGGACUGAUAUGGUCUCCUUUUGAAGUGGAAGAUUCUGUGAAAGUUUCUUGUCUACUGGAUCCGUUUGUUGACCCAAUCAGUGUUGUUCUGAGGAGGCUUGGCAAUGAGGAACUUUGUUGUGGUUCGCUUGUCAAAACUGUUGGGAGACUGAAACUGGCUGGUCAUGUGAUACAAUACAAAAGUCACGUGACAAAGAAAUUUUUUACGCUGUUGAAUUUACUGAAUGUCAUGAAGAACAGCCGUUGUUUGGUUAUGUAUUACUCUUUAUAAUUUUUGGAUGUAAACGGUUUGCUGUUAUUCAAUGGCUUAAAAUGGAGGAGUGGCCAUUAUUGCAUAAUGACGAUGACUGCAUGACUGAUGUUGUUGAUGCUUACAGUAAUCUUCAAGAGCUGAUUGGAAAGCAUUUACUUCCUGCUCAAGAGACUCACGACCUGGUAGCAAUUCCUGUAGGAGACAUAACAGCUCAAGUAGUCUGUAUGAAAAUGUUAGGUUCAAGCUGUAUUUUUGUGUCUUGAUAUCCUAACAUUGUUGAGUGUGAUUGAGUUGUGACU